CCUACGGGUGGCAGCAGUGAGGAAUAUUGGUCAAUGGCCGGGAGGCUGAACCAGCCAAGUCGCGUGAGGGAAGACGGCCCUACGGGUUGUAAACCUCUUUUGUCAGGGAGCAAGGUGCAGGUCGGGACCGGCUGUGAGAGUACCUGAAGAAAAAGCAUCGGCUAACUCCGUGCCAGCAGCCGCGGUAAUACGGAGGAUGCGAGCGUUAUCCGGAUUUAUUGGGUUUAAAGGGUGCGCAGGCGGAGGCACAAGUCAGCGGUCAAAUCGCGGGGCUCAACCCCGCUCCGCCGUUGAAACUGUGUCCCUUUACUGCGCGACGGGUAGGCGGCAUGCGUGGUGUAGCGG
rnacentral:rRNA from 1 species